UACGAAGGGGGCUAGCGUUGCUCGGAAUCACUGGGCGUAAAGCGCACGUAGGCGGCUUGUUAAGUCAGGGGUGAAAUCCUGGAGCUCAACUCCAGAACUGCCUUUGAUACUGGCGAGCUUGAGUCCGGGAGAGGUGAGUGGAACUGCGAGUGUAGAGGUGAAAUUCGUAGAUAUUCGGAAGAACACCAGUGGCGAAGGCGGCUAACUGGCCCGAUACUGACGCUCAGGUGCGAAAGCGUGGGGAGCAAACAGG
rnacentral:rRNA from 1 species